rnacentral:rRNA from 1 species
CGGACGGUGAGUAUGUCUGGGAAACUGCCCGAUGGAGGGGAUACUAUGGAACGGUAGCUAAUACCGCAUAACGUCGCAAGACCAAAGAGGGGGACCUUCGGGCCUCUUGCCAUCGGAUGUGCCCAGAUGGGAUUAGCUAGUAGGUGGGGUAACGGCUCACCUAGGCGACGAUCCCUAGCUGGUCUGAGAGGAUGACCAGCCACACUGGAACUGAGACACGGUCCAG